AACAACAAAACAACAUAAGAAGGAAAUUAGGGUGCUGCUAACCUCCUCACAACCCUACGAGCAGCAUUCUGCUUUCUUUAAAAAAAAAAAAAACUCUUGCUUGAAACUCCAUCAAAGCUACAAAAGAAAAAAAAAACUAAAAGAAAAUAUCAUCACCAAUAUCUAUCACACAUCAACUUGAUCCAUCAUCUCCAUCUUCACUUGGUUAGUGGGUAUUUCAAAGAGAGAGAAUUGAGUUUUAUACUUGAAAUUUUAGGGUCGAAAUCGGAUCAAGAAGACGGAAUUCUGGGUCUUUUUACACUCUUCUACGUUCUAAUUGCGUUAUUAAUCAAGGCUUGAUGGUGACUAGCUUAUAUUGGGGUGAGAGCGUUGACCACACCUAGAUGUAGAUUUAUUAAAGUUAAGACUUCCGCUGCAAUAGAUUAGAAUUAUGGUCUGUUAUAGGAGUGUAUUAAUUAAUUACAUUUUCUUUUAGUUGUAAUAGUUAAUAAUUAAUUUAUGUAUUAGUAGUAGUACCUUUC